rnacentral:rRNA from 1 species
CAGUAGCCGCGGUAAUACAGAGGGUGCGAGCGUUAAUCGGAUUUACUGGGCGUAAAGCGUGCGUAGGCGGCUUUUUAAGUCGGAUGUGAAAUCCCUGAGCUUAACUUAGGAAUUGCAUUCGAUACUGGGAAGCUAGAGUAUGGGAGAGGAUGGUAGAAUUCCAGGUGUAGCGGUGAAAUGCGUAGAGAUCUGGAGGAAUACCGAUGGCGAAGGCAGCCAUCUGGCCUAAUACUGACGCUGAGGUACGAAAGCAUGGGGAGCAAACAGGAUUAGAGACCCCUGUAGUCCCUGUCUCUUAUAC